CACGCGAGUGGAUGCCAACUCCCCAAAACCCUCUCUCAGUUCGGACUGGAGUCUGCAACCCGACUCCAUGAAGCUGGAUUCGCUAGUAAUCGCGCAUCAGCCACGGCGCGGUGAAUACGUUCCCGGGCCUUGUACACACCGCCCGUCAAGCCAUGGGAGCCGGGGGUACCUGAAGUGCGUAACCGCGAGGAGCGCCCUAGGGUAAAACUGGUGACUGGGGCUAAGUCGUAACAAGGUACC
rnacentral:rRNA from 1 species